rnacentral:tRNA from 1 species
UCCCGGGUAGCUCAAUGGCAGAGCAAGCGACUGUUAAUCGCUAGGUUGUCGGUUCGAGUCCGACCCCGGGAGCCA